GGGGGGGGGGGGGGGGGGGGGGGGGGCGGGGGGGGCGGACGGUGGAGGCGAGGUGGCUGGGUGGGGUAGUGGCGAGCGGGUGAGUAACCCGUGAGUAGCCUGCCCUUGACUCUGGGAUCAGCCUGGGAAACUGGGUCUAAUGCUGGCUAUGACUUGUCAUCGCAUGGUGGGGGGUGGAAGGGUUUGUUGGUCUUGGAUGGCCUGGCGUCCUAUCAGUUGGUUGGGGAGGUAAUUGCUCCCCAAGGCGACGCGGGUUGCCCGGCCUGAGAGGGUGACCGGCCACACUGGGAUGGAGACACGGCCCAGACUCCUACGGGAGGCAGCAGUGGGGAAUAUUGCACAAUGGGCGCAAGCCUGAUGCAGCGACGCCGCGUGAGGGAUGACGGCCUUCGGGGUGUAAACCUCUUUCAGUAGGGAAGAAGAGAGAGUGACGGUACCUGCAGAAGAAGCGCCGGCUAACUACGUG
rnacentral:rRNA from 1 species